ACGGGAGGCAGCAGUGGGGAAUAUUGCACAAUGGGGGAAACCCUGAUGCAGCGACGCCGCGUGAGCGAAGAAGUAUUUCGGUAUGUAAAGCUCUAUCAGCAGGGAAGAAACUGACGGUACCUGACUAAGAAGCACCGGCUAAAUACGUGCCAGCAGCCGCGGUAAUACGUAUGGUGCAAGCGUUAUCCGGAUUUACUGGGUGUAAAGGGAGCGUAGACGGAGCAGCAAGUCUGAAGUGAAAUACCCGGGCUCAACCCGGGAGCUGCUUUGGAAACUGUUAGGCUGGAGUGCUAGAGAGGCAAGCGGAAUUCCUAGUGUAGCGGUGAAAUGCGUAGAUAUUAGGAGGAACACCAGUGGCGAAGGCGGCUUACUGGACGGUAACUGACGUUGAGGCUCGAAAGCGUGGGGAGCAAACAGGAUUAGAUACCCUGGUA
rnacentral:rRNA from 1 species